UUAACCAAUUUUCAGCAAAUGGUUAUUAAUGUUUACUUUCAGAACCACACGCACAGCAUGUGCAGCUGGUGACUCUGCGUGGGCCACCUGCUACCUAGUGCUUUUUCAAUCAUGCCUGAUUACAACGACGAGGGAGAAAAACACCAGAUAGCUCAGCCUGAUAUGUUUUUUAUCAUUCAGUCUGCUUUUGGGCAGAGGAGUUCAAACCACGAGUGUCAGCAGUGUGUAAGACAGCGUGGGGCUCGGGCCACCUGCCGCAGUGGACCCCUGGCUUAGUUUCCAUGUGCUAUCUUAGCAUGGCAGAAAGCGGAUUCCAACCAGCCACAGCAGGUGACAGGAGCUGAAGCUCAGCCCUUCCUGAAAGCAACCCAUGCCCUCGAGGAUGCUGACGGUGAUCUGAGUACAUUUUCCAGCUCCCUUGUUCUGUGUAAAUAAAUGUUUAAGAAGAAAUAAGCACUAGCAGCGAUCCCUAGCACUUUAUGAAGACCAGGAUACUGAUACUCCCUUCCCGUUGGAUGGCACACCACAGUUUGUUUGCAUUUCAUUUGCUAUUUAUAACAAUAGAGGAAGAAAGACAAAAUGUUUUUGUUUUUGUUUUAACACGUGAAGAACAUGAGAUCGGAAGAGGUAAAGUUAAUUUCCCAGAAUUAUCUAUGCUAAGCCUUGAAAAGCCAUGUUUAUUACAGAUCAGAUAUUUACUCUAAAACAAAAGUGUAGAAUAGCAGAAAAACAAUGGACUUAGAGGUCAAAAGGCUAUAAUUUUGUCCACAUACAUCUCUAUGAUCCCAAGCCAGUCAUUUACUUUCUCUGAGCCUGAUAUUCUCAUCCAUAAAGUGGAACCACCUGUCUUUUGCAUAGUCAAGGAGGCAGUGCCCAUGGAGGAGCACUGAGUUAUAAAGGGCUAACUCCUGUGAGGGAUGACUCCGGUCAUGGUGACCAGUUAUCCUCUCCUCUGAAUUUUGUUCUUCAGAGGCCAACUUGAAAGAGUUUGAAGCCUGAGGUUGGAUUUAUAGGCACUAGAAUACAUCAGCUUCAAACAUUCACAAAUCAGGAACUGAUUUCAUCUCCUCUUGAAACCUAUCAUCUGUUAGCUAAAAUAGCUCUGGUUGCUUUUAUUCCAGAUAAUAACACUUAAAGUUUUAAUGAGAGAUGAGCAUGUUCAUUAAAAAACAAGUCAAAUGAAACUAAAAAAAAAAAUCAUUUACUUGGAAAUCCAUGCCUGUAAUGAAGUCAUACUAUUGUGUAGACAACAGUGGAAUGAUUAGGUCUGAUUUUAAAAAAAGAGUUGUCACCAGCACCCUAUGUAGAAAGACUUUUUUUCAAUUUCCAUGAGAGUUGUGUUCACUUGCAAAUUGGUUGUGAGGCAGCCAGGUGGGAGGGGGUCCCCGGAAAAAUUCCAACCAGACUGCGCCCUGGGAAGGGUGUGCACUGGGGUGGAGCCACAGAAGUGCGAACCCUUUGCAGUGGGGAGGAGCCUGGCCCCUCCUCUUCCUGGGUGGAGCUGGGGAUUCAAGCUGCGAGGCAGUAAGCACACUAGAUGAACUCUGGCCUUGAGGAGUCCCUGUUUCCCUUUUUUCCUUUUCACCCAAUAAAACCCUGCUUUACUCACCCUUCAAACCAUCUGCCAGCUUGAAUUUUCAUGGCUGUGGGACGGACAAGGACCCCGUCUUUAGCUGAACUAAGGAAAAGUCCUGCGGCAGUUGUGUGAGGUUAUUAACACAAGCUACACAGAAACACAUGUUAUCCACGUUAGGCCAGCCUCUCCAUGCCUAUUUGAUGGAAGUGCAGGCAAAAUGUAAGAAGAAUAACUCUGCUGUGUUUUGGAUUAAAAGGAUUUUUGUGGACUAGCAUGAUUAUUUAUUUACUGUACCUAUAGGCAAAUGUAUUCAUGAAUGGUAGCUCAAAAUGUUGCAAGUAGACAUCAGCUGUUUUCAGAACAGCUCAGAGAGAUGCCACCCUGCCAAUGAGAAGAAGCUUAGGAAGGGGGAGCCCUCUGCAGCUGCUCCGGGUACUUGGCACAUGGCCAGAAGGGAUCCCACACCCUGCAUCUGCCAUGGCCUCUCAAAGAAAGAGAAGAAAAUGUUUCACCCAUGCAUCGAACAUGCCUCUAUACAGGACAGUCAUAAUUUGGGUGUUUAUAGGUCAGGGAUGACUGUGAUGCAUUUCCUAACUUUUAUUCUCUGCUGUAGCUAUGUAAGAUGGGGAGUCUUUAGCUAUAUGCCCUAAAACACAGAAAUAACCUGACCCCAGGCCUGUUACUGUGGCAGCUUGGUUGGCCUUUAGAGGUUAACAUUCAAAUCCUCAAAAGGAAGAAACUCGUAUGAGAGAAUAACAUCUUCAGAUACUGAAGCAGAAAGAAUAUUAAAGCAUAUGGAUUCAGAAAAAAAAAAAAA
rnacentral:lncRNA from 1 species